rnacentral:rRNA from 1 species
AGCGAACGCUGGCGGCCGGCUUAACACAUGCAAGUCGACCGGGCAUCGCAAUCUGUCAGUGGCAGUCGGGUUAGUAACGCGUGGGCACGUACCUUUUGGUUCGCUACAACACUGGGAAACUUUUGCUAAUACCGGUUUUGCCCUUACCGGGAAAGAUUUUUCGCCGAAAGAUCUUACCACUUCUGAUUCUCUAGGUGGUAGUGUUAUCGCAUACCAAGGCCACGAUCAGCUUCUGGGCUGAGAGGAAGAUCAGCCACAUUGGGACUGAGACACGGCCCAAACUCCUACGGGAGGAAGAAGUGGGGAAUAUUGGAGAAUGGGAGAAAGCAUGAGCCAGCAAUGCCGCGAGAGUGAUGAAGGCCCUAGGGUUGUAAAGCGCAAGUGUGCGGGAAGAUAAUGACGGUACCGAAAGAAUAAGCCCCGGCUAACUUCGUG